GGGGAUGUAGCUCAGCUGGCUAGAGCGCUUGACUGGCAGUCAAGAGGUCGUGGGUUCGACUCCCAUCUUCUCCA
rnacentral:tRNA from 6 species